rnacentral:rRNA from 1 species
AACGAACGCUGGCGGCAGGCCUAACACAUGCAAGUCGAGCGAGAACUUCGGUCCUAGCGGCGGACGGGUGAGUAACGCGUGGGAACGUGCCCUUUGCUUCGGAAUAGCCCUGGGAAACUGGGAGUAAUACCGGAUGAGCCCUUUGGGGGAAAGAUUUAUCGGCGAAGGAUCGGCCCGCGUUGGAUUAGGUAGUUGGUGGGGUAAUGGCCUACCAAGCCGACGAUCCAUAGCUGGUUUGAGAGGAUGAUCAGCCACACUGGGACUGAGACACGGCCCAGACUCCUACGGGAGGCAGCAGUGGGGAAUCUUAGACAAUGGGGGAAACCCUGAUCUAGCCAUGCCGCGUGAGCGAAGAAGGCCUUAGGGUUGUAAAGCUCUUUCAGCUGGGAAGAUAAUGACGGUACCAGCAGAAGAAGCCCCGGCUAACUCCGUG